GACGAACGCUGGCGGCGUGCUUAACACAUGCAAGUCGAACGGAAAGGCCCUGCUUUUGUGGGGUGCUCGAGUGGCGAACGGGUGAGUAACACGUGAGUAACCUGCCCUUGACUUUGGGAUAACUUCAGGAAACUGGGGCUAAUACCGGAUAGGAGCUCCUGCUGCAUGGUGGGGGUUGGAAAGUUUCGGCGGUUGGGGAUGGACUCGCGGCUUAUCAGCUUGUUGGUGGGGUAGUGGCUUACCAAGGCUUUGACGGGUAGCCGGCCUGAGAGGGUGACCGGCCACAUUGGGACUGAGAUACGGCCCAGACUCCUACGGGAGGCAGCAGUGGGGAAUAUUGCACAAUGGGCGGAAGCCUGAGGCAGCAACGCCGCGUGCGGGAUGACGGCCUUCGGGUUGCAAACCGCUUUCGCCUGUGACGAAGCGUGAGUGACGGUAAUGGGUAAAGAAGCACCGGCUAACUACGU
rnacentral:rRNA from 1 species